rnacentral:rRNA from 1 species
UUAAUAGUAAAAUCUGCUCAAUGAAUAUUAAAUAGCCGCAAAUGUGCUAAGGUAGCAUAAUCAUUUGUCUUUUAAAUAAAGGCUAGAACAAAAGAUUUAACAUUUUUAUCUACUUAUUUGAAUUAAAAUUCAAAACUAUUCUAAAUGUAAAAAAACAUUUAUAACAAAAAAAGACGACAAGACCCUAUUGAACUUAACUUAAGUUUUACUGGGGUAGUAAAUUAAUUAAUAUUUUAAUUUUAAAAACAAAAUAAAUAUCCAAUAUUUAUUGAUUAAUUCAGUUACCAUAGGGAUAACAGCGCAAUUAUAUUUUAAAGCUCCUAUAUAAAAUUUAGAUUACGACCUCGAUGUUGAAUUAAUAACCUAAUUAAAGAAAAUUUUAAACAAGGAAGUCUGUUCGACUUUUAAAAAAUUACAUGAUUUGAGUUCAGACCGGCAUAAGCCAGGUCGGCUUCUAUCUUUUAAAAAGACUUUUACAGUACGAAAGGACCUAAAAAUAUAAUAUUAUUAUAUUAUAUUAGCAAAUAAAUGCAUUAGAAUUAGAAUCUAAAUAAAAA